AAGGGAUAUAUCUCAAGCCCAAUUGGGCAACACUCACAAGCCCACAUGGGCUAAUUAACUGGAACCAAAAGCCCAAAUCAAAGAAGUGGGGCAAUCCAAACAAUUGUAGGUAGAGUUCCACUAAACCCUACCUAACUUUUCUUCACACAUCAAACUCCUAGCUGCCAAGCCGAGAUUCAAAGCUUCCGUUGGUAAGAAGGCAGCCAUAUUGGUGGGGCACUGGCCUAGAGGAGCGUCGGCCUUGCGGAGGGUAACGACGAGAUGGCUGUCAGCCGAGCAUAGUUGACAGCCAUGCAGGCUGCUGGCCAUCCAAGUGGCUGGCCUUAUGGGUGCCGAUAGAGCAAACGAAGCAAUAAACACAGAUCUGGGAGGAGAUGGAGAGACCAGCGAAUCCAGAUCUGGGCAGGGACUUGGUCACAGACAAGUUUCACACGAGAUGGGCAGCAGCACAUGGAUGGGCAGCUGCAGGUAGAGAGCGGAGAACUCGGUGACAACAAGGUCCAGAUAUGAUCUACAGCAAAGCCAGCAGCACAAUGUCACUCCAGAUCUGAGCAGCAGCUCAAGAACUCACCAUAUCUGAGGCUUGACGAAAAGGAAUCUCAAGGGAGUUGGUAAGGGUGGAGCACGACUUCCUGAUCAUGUGAGACAAAGGAGGAAAGAGAAGGAGAGGGAGAGGGAGAGGGAGAGGGAGAAGAAGAAAACAAAGAGAGGAGGAGGAAGAAGAUAGUGGAGGACGAGAGGGAGAGAGGGAGAGGAUGAGAGGAGAGAGAGAGAGAGAGAGAGAGAGAGAGAGAGAGAGAGAGAGGGGGGGGGGAGGAGCUGGCUGUAAACCUUCUGUGGGUAGGGCAAAAAGAGAGGAUGGAAGGUUUUGGUCUAAUUAUGCUGUCUUACCUGACUUAUCAAUGAUAUUUGAUUUCUGAUUUGAAUGAUUUAUUAUUAUAUGAGGAAGUUAGAAAUAAUCGGAAGUGAUAUUCAUCAGCAUCUGAGAACAAGGUUUCAACAUUAAAACAAGCAGAAAGAAUGGAACAAUAAUUCAGUUAUCAGAUUCUUAGAUCAGUGUAUUGUUUGUUUGGGGAGGAAAUGUAUGGUUGCAACACAAAAGCGGCAACCUUUGCCCCAAAGUCUUAUAUUAGGGUCUCCUAUAUCAUAGAGCAUUUGGCAUUGACUACCUACCUGACUUGUUGAUUGAAGCAUCUAUGUCUGGAUCUACUGAUGGGCUCUCAUAUUUUAAAUGUAAGCAUCAUGAUUGGUCUGAGAACACUAUUUCAAAUGCCUGAUUGUAUGUUUGAAGACCAUCAACAAUGAGAUCCAUGACAACUCAUGAUUAAAGUUUUCUGUUGCAGAAUUUUAACGCCUCAAGGGGAGGAGAUGGAGAUAGGAUCCUCCAAUGAUGAUAUACCGACUGAAAUCUUAUCGUGACUGCCCACUGAAUAUCUACUUGGACUAAAAAUCGUCUGUAAAGGGUGGCACCGCCUUAUAUCUUAUCCUUGUUUCAUCCGUAUUCAGUUAGAAAGAUCACAGACUAUAUCAGGUUUCUUAUUCCAAGAGAGAUUUUAUUGGUGUGAUGAAGAUAUUCCAUCUUUGAGUUACCUCUCUGUUGGAAUGAAGCAAGCUGUUGUGCAAAACACUAUCUUGGAUUUCCUCCCAGAGAAGGUAGCCCUUAGCUCUUCAUGUAAUGGGCUUAUUUGUUGCCGAAGUUGCUUCCCUGCUGAAGAUCCGGUGAUCUAUGUCUGCAACCUUUCCAUCAAGGAAUGGAUUGAAGUAAAGUGGGGAAAUACGGAUAAAAAAGACAGCCUUGCAUUAGCCUUCAAUCCUCUUAGUCAUCCAGUUGAUAUUUGCAGAGAUUACAAAGUAGUUAGAAUCCAUCAAACAGAAACGGAAGAAGAUUCGUACUUUAUCAUUUGAAAUCUAUUCUUCUGAGACUGGAACAUGGAAAAGCUUGGCGGCGGGAUUUGAAUGCUAUUAUAAUCUGUUCAAGAACCAUGGAAUAUUCGCUUCUGUUUUCUUGCAUUGGCCGACUGAUGGGGAUCACAUCCUUGUUAUCAACGUAGAAAAGGAGCAGGUGAAGCUGAUCAGACUAUCAUCUCCCACAAUGCCAUAUAAAGAACUACCUGAGAUUUGUAUUGGGGAAUCUGGAGGAUAUCUACAUUUCGUCCGGAUCUCUAUGGCUGGGCUUCAAAUCUGGACCCUUGAAAAUUAUGCUGAGCCUGAAUGGGUGAUUAAAUGCUCCAUAAAAUUAGAUGAUCUGGAGAAAGAAAAUCCAAAAGUCCUUUACAAGCUCUGAAAUUGUCUCGGCGGUUCACAAUAGAUGAGUUAUCAUGGAUGGAUCUUUUGGCAUUCCAAGGUGAUCUCUUGUUUAUGAGGGUAUCUUCCAAGGUCUACUUGUAUCACAUUAAGACAAGGAAGAUGAAGGAGCUCUGCACCCUAACACAGUUGUGCUCCCCACAGUGCUUCCAUAUAGCAUGAGCCUGGUUCCAUUGGGACAACUCGCUUGUGCUCUCUAUCGUGCUUCCAUAUAGCAUGAGCGUGCUUAUAUUGGGAUAUCAUUAAGAAGUCCUGGAAGCUUUUAUUUUGAAGAGUAUAUUAAAGGUUUUAUGAGCAGGAGAGGAAAAGGAAAGGAAAAACGCUGCGCCUACUUCGUGUUUUGAAGGUUUUCACAGUCAGAAUUAGAGAGUGGUUGUUUUGGUUUUUUGGGUUAUGAGUAUCAUUAGGGUCUAGAUCAAGACUUACUUUCUGUUGUCCACACGGGAUAUAUACUGAAUACAUGUUCGUAGUUUGAUUUUUUGAGAUGGAGCCAA